GACGAACGCUGGCGGCGUGCUUAACACAUGCAAGUCGAACGGUAAGGCCCUUCGGGGUACACGAGUGGCGAACGGGUGAGUAACACGUGGGUGAUCUGCCCUGCACUUCGGGAUAAGCCUGGGAAACUGGGUCUAAUACCGGAUAGGACCACUGCCUGCAUGGGUGGUGGUGGAAAGCCUUUGCGGUGUGGGAUGGGCCCGCGGCCUAUCAGCUUGUUGGUGGGGGGAUGGCCUACCAAGGCGACGACGGGUAGCCGGCCUGAGAGGGUGACCGGCCACACUGGGGCUGAGAUACGGCCCAGAAUCCUACGGGAGGCAGCAGUGGGGAAUAUUGCACAAUGGGCGCAAGCCUGAUGCAGCGACGCCGCGUGAGGGAUGACGGCCUUCGGGUUGUAAACCUCUUUCAGCACCGACGAAGCGCAAGUGACGGUAGGUGCAGAAGAAGGACCGGCCAACUACGUGCCAGCCGCCGCGGUAAGAC
rnacentral:rRNA from 1 species